GCGAGAGGUAUGCGGAAUGCGUGGUGUAGCGGUGAAAUGCAUAGAUAUCACGCAGAACCCCGAUUGCGAAGGCAGCAUACCGGCGCCCGACUGACGCUGAGGCACGAAAGUGCGGGGAUCAAACAGGAUUAGAUACCCUGGUAGUCCGCACAGUAAACGAUGAAUGCUAGCUGUCCGGGGGGAUUGACCCCUGGGUGGCACAGCGAAAGCGUUAAGCAUUCCACCUGGGGAGUACGCCGGCAACGGUGAAACUCAAAGGAAUUGACGGGGGCCCGCACAAGCGGAGGAACAUGUGGUUUAAUUCGAUGAUACGCGAGGAACCUUACCCGGGCUCAAACGCCGAAGGGACAUUCCCCGAAAGGGGAUUGGCCAGCAAUGGUCUUCGGCGAGGUGCUGCAUGGUUGUCGUCAGCUCGUGCCGUGAGGUGUCGGCUUAAGUGCCAUAACGAGCGCAACCCCCACCGACAGUUGCUAACUGGUCAAGCAGAGGACUCUGUCGGGACUGCCGGCGCAAGCUGCGAGGAAGGCGGGGAUGACGUCAAAUCAGCACGGCCCUUACGUCCGGGGCGACACACGUGUUACAAUGGCAGGUACAGCGGGAUGCCAUGGGGCGACCCAGAGCGGAACCCGAAAACCUGUCUCAGUUCGGAUUGGAGUCUGCAACCCGACUCCAUGAAGCUGGAUUCGCUAGUAAUCGCGCAUCAGCCACGGCGCGGUGAAUACGUUCCCGGGCCUUGUACACACCGCCCGUCAAGCCAUGGGAGCCGGGGGUGCCUGAAGGCCGUGACCGCGAGGAGCGGCCUAGGGUAAAACUGGUGACUGGGGCUAAGUCGUAACAAGGUAACCGUAA
rnacentral:rRNA from 1 species